UUAGUUUAUUAACUUGUUUAUCAGACGUAGACGUUUACUGACUGGAGUUUUAAGGUCCUCUGGCGGUCGCGAUCGCACGAGGCGCUCUCGAGCCGCCAAAGCAACAGAGGUAUGUUCACAAAGGGUGGGAGAUUCGAGCCGAAGCCCGAGAACUCGGUAAUGAUCCUUCCGCAGGUUCACCUACGGAAA
rnacentral:misc_RNA from 1 species